UUUAGUUAGAGUUUGAUCCUAGCUCAGGAUGAACGCUGGCGGCGUGGAUAAGGCAUGCAAGUCGAACGAAUAGUUCCAUGAAAGUUUGAAAGACUUUAAGUAGCAAUACAAGAAGAAUUGAUAGCCGGAUUGGGUUUUCUAUUAGUGGCGAACGAGGUAGUAAUACGCAGGAACUUCCCCCAAAGUCGCGAAUAAUUCGUCGAAAGACGGACUAAUACGCGAUGGUCUCGUAAGAGUAAAGAUUUAUCGCUUUGGGAAAGGCCUGUGCAAUAUCAGCUAGUUGGUGAGGUAAUGGCUCACCAAGGCUAUGACGUUUAGGGGGAGUGAGAGCUUGGCCCCCACCGAUGGUACUGAGACACGGACCAUACACCUACGGGUGGCUGCAGUCGAGAAUCUUCCGCAAUGGGCGAAAGCCUGACGGAGCGACGCCGCGUGAUUGAUGAAGUCCCUUUGGGACGUAAAGAUCUUUUAUGAGGGAAGAAGUUUAUUGACGGUACCUCAUGAAUAAGAGGCUCCUAAUCUCGUGCCAGCAGGAGCGGUAAUACGAGAGCCUCGAGCGUUAUCCGGAAUUAUUGGGCGUAAAGGGUGCGUAGGUUGUUCUGUUAGUCUUUUGUCAAAGCCCCAAGCUUAACUUGGGAUAUGCAAAAGAAACGGCAGGACUUGAAAGUGCGAGAGGCGUACGGAACUCAUGGUGUAGGGGUGAAAUCCGUUGAUAUCAUGGGGAACACCAAAUGCGAAGGCAGUACGCUGGCGCAUGUUUGACACUGAAGCACGAAAGCGUGGGUAGCGAAUGGGAUUAGAUACCCCAGUAGUCCACGCCCUAAACGAUCUUCUCUCGGUUUUCGGAGUAUCGACCCUCUGAGAGCCUUAGCUAACGCGUUAAGAGAAGCGCCUGGGAAGUACGGCCGCAAGGCUAAAACUCAAAGGAAUAGACGGGGACUUGCACAAGCAGUGGAUUAUGUGGUUUAAUUCGAUGGUAAACGAAGAACCUUACCAGGGUUAGAAAUCCUAUUGAAAGCUCUAAGAAACUAGAGCCCUCGCAAGACAGUAGGACAGGUGAUGCAUGGCCGUCGUCAGUUCGUGGUUUGAAUUGUUCCCUUAAGUGGGGUAACGAACGCAACCCUCGUUGUGUGUUACAAGUGUCACACGAGACCGCCCCCGCCUUUGCUCCUCUUGGAGUCAAAGUCGGUGUGUCUGUUAAUUUUUUUAGCGGGCCUGCCCGCCGAAACUUCCUGAAGGGAAGUGAAGGCGGGGGAGGAAGGAGAGGAUGACGCCAGGUCAGCAUGUCCCUUUGAUAUCCUGGGCUACACACAUAAUACAAUGGCUAUUACAACGCGCAGCAACGAGGCGACUCUGAGCUAAUCGUUUAAAAAUAGCCCCAGUUCGGAUUGGAGUCUGCAACUCGACUCCAUGAAGCCGGAAUUGCUAGUAAUCGCGGGUCAGCUAUACCGCGGUGAAUACGUUCUCAAGUCUUGUACUCACCGCCCGUCAAGUCAAGGGAGCCGGGAGUACCCGAAGUCUCCACAUAAGUGGGGCCUAAGGUAAGCUCGGUGACAGGGACUAAGUCGUAACAAGGCACGGGUAGCGGAAGCUGCUCGUGGAUUAAUUCAAUU
rnacentral:rRNA from 1 species